CCGGGUGCCGGGUGCCGUGGGAGGCCGAUUGCAAGUGUCGACAAGCAAUCGGAAUGCGAAAUAAGGUGGGUUGUGCUCACCGAAACGACUAGGUCGCCUAUAUGUCUAAGAGUAAUGGUUCUCUAGUUGAUGCAUAUAGUUGUGUUGGUAGGCUUAUAUAAUGAUAUGAAUGCUUGAAACAUACUAUGUAGUUGAGAUUACCUACCAAUGAGAUGAGAUGCAUAAUGAAUUAAAUACUAAAAGAAUGCAUGAGAUGCUUAGUAUGAACUAUUUUGGAUAAUGACUAUAUGUAUGUUGACAUAUCAUGUGAUGCUAGUGGUAUAUGUGCAUGAUGACAUAUUAUGAAUUAACAUAUUGUGGAUUAUGUUAAAUAGAAAAACAUACUUGAUGACAUAUUGUCAUAUUGUGGAACAUAGUAGAUGAAAAUGUAUGCAUGUUGAUAUACCUUGAGAUAUGAGUUGAUAUAUAUGCAUGUUGAUGUAUUGUGGACUACGUUAAAUAACAUAUGCAUGUUAAACUUGGGUCUAUACCUCUUGGAUGGUUAGAAAACUCGAUGUUGAAAAAUAAUGACGUAUGAACUAUGAUAUGCGACGUGGACAAUCUAUAUAUAUUAGAUCGAGUGGCAUAUGAUUAGUAUAGUGGAAACACUUAUGACAUGUUGAACACUUAGAAAACAAGUAUGGCAUGAGUCCAAGAAUAUAGUAGUGUAUAUGACACAAGUGAUAGUAAAGAAUGCAAAGAAAAGAAUGAUUGAAAUAUUAUGACAUUUCAACCCUAGAGUUAGGGUCAUUUGAACAUAGUCUUUCUAAAGUUAAGGAAUUGAUUGAACUUGGAGUCCUCAAAUGUAGGAUUGAUCAUACUCACUUUUAGUCCUUGCUCGAGGUUGUGGUAACUCUCCCUCGGGCGAUGUGCUCCGGAGUCGACAUCACUGGGUUAUAGCGAGUAUCUCCCCAGAAGACGGUCCCAUCGGGUCGUAGCGAGUAUCUCCCUGAUUAUUGGGAUUUUGAGUUUGUGAGUUUGUUGAGGGCAAAACCUUCGGGUUAGCCAAGAGAUUGGGUAACAAGCACAUGAGUUGUAGCAAUAUCCUAGUUGAGUGGACUUAAGGCUGAGGUGCAAGUGAGACGUCCUUCGCCUCGAGCCUGGCUUUAUGCGGUACUCUGCGAAUGAUUGACUCGAGACCGAGUCGUGUGGAUAGUUGAUAAAGGUAAAUGAGACCAUAUGAUCAGAAUUGUAAUUGAUAUGAAUUUAAAAUAGUGGAAUAACUUCGAAGUCAAUUGAAUGAGCUUUGAAUAGCAGGAUUAAAGUAGUAUCGAUUGAACUACUAAUUGGUUGCAUAAAUCGCAUGAUUUUCAUAUUGCAUAGUUGUGAGGCAUGACAUGUAUUUCAAUUAUCGCAUAUAUAUAUAUGUUGGAUAUUUGUUGGACUAACAUGUUGCAGUGCCUCCUUGGACCUGUGGGUCGAGCUCUUCCCUUGGGUGGCCGUACCCACUGGGAACUAUAUUUAUAUAGUUCUCACCCCCGUGUUGUUUUUGGGGGUACAGGUUCCCACGUGAGCGGCGCGGCGGCGCGAGGAGAGGGCGUAGCUCCGUAGAUAGCGCCCUACCACCGAGACCAGAGAUAGCGGUACCCUGAGUCGGCCUUUACUUAGGGAUGUAAGAAAAUGAAAAGAAUCAAGUUGUAAUAAUUUGUAAUAAAAGCUUGAUUGUAUUUGGAAGUUAAAUGUAAUGUGUAAUUAUGAUGUAAAAUAUAUCUAGUGGAUGUGAAUGCUUGUAAUAGCAAGUAAAUUAUGUUUUUGAUACUUCCUUAUGCAAUCUUUGAUUGAAAUGUGUUCCUAGUUGGAACUUUGUAUAUUGUAUUGAUUGCGACGCCUUGAACAUACAGGGGAGACACUGUCCGCGGUACCGUGGAA
rnacentral:lncRNA from 1 species